GUAGGUGGCAAGCGUUGUCCGGAAUUAUUGGGCGUAAAGCGCGCGCAGGCGGUUCUUUAAGUCUGAUGUGAAAGCCCACGGCUCAACCGUGGAGGGUCAUUGGAAACUGGAGAACUUGAGUACAGAAGAGGAAAGCGGAAUUCCACGUGUAGCGGUGAAAUGCGUAGAGAUGUGGAGGAACACCAGUGGCGAAGGCGGCUUUCUGGUCUGUAACUGACGCUGAUGCGCGAAAGCGUGGGGGGAGCAAACAGGAUUAGAUACCCUGGUAGUCCACGCCGUAAACGAUGAGUGCUAAGUGUUAGGGGGUUUCCGCCCCCCCCUUAGUGCUGCAGCUAACGCAUUAAGCACUCCGCCUGGGGAGUACGGCCGCAAGGCUG
rnacentral:rRNA from 1 species